CGGAAGAAUACCUAUGGGCAUCAGUGCUAAAGGAACUAACAUUGGACUAAGUGCUACCAUACGUAAUGCAAUGGCACUCUGUGUUAAGAUAGAUUGCACUCCCGACAAUCUUCCCCCAAACUGAGUGUCUAAAAGAGGUAUAAAAGGAGGAGAGAUCAGUGCCUAGGCAUGAUCCUCUACCCAUAUGAUUUGGACAUCAUAGAGGAUCAUCAGACCAGGACCUGUGCCCUAGUACCAUGCCUCAGGACUACCUGGCAUGAUGACUCCUUGCUGUCCCAAGUCCACCUGGCCGUGCUGCUGCUCCAGUUUCAACUGUUCUGCCUGCGGCUAUGGAACCCUGACCUGUUCACCGGACAUGCUACCUGUCCCAGACCUGCUGUUUUCAACUCCCUAGAGACAGCAGGAGCGACCCAACUGGAGAACUCAAGACCGCUAAAGAGAUUGUUGAACUCUACACCAGUUGUUUUGGAAGAGUGGUUUUGGAAGAGUGGGU
ensembl:lncRNA